AUUGAACGCUAGCGGGAUGCCUUACACAUGCACGUCGCACGGAGUGGCGAACGGGUGAGUAAUGUAUCGGAACGUGCCCAGUAGCGGGGGAUAACUACGCGAAAGCGUAGCUAAUAACGCAUCCUAUUGGAGCGGCCGAUAGCGGAUUAGCGCGUUGGUGGGGUAACGGCUCACCAAGGCGACGAUCCGUAGCUUGUUUGGGAGGACGACCAGCCACAUGGUGACUGAGACACGGCCCCGACCCCUACGGGAGGCAGCAGUGGGGAAUUGUGUACAAUGGGGGAAACCCGGAGCCAGCCAUCCCGCGUGGGCGAUGAAGGCCUUCGGGUUGUAAAGCACUUUUGGCAGGAAAGCGGUACCUGCAGAAUAAGCACCGGCUAACUACGUGCCAGCAGCCGCGGUAAUAC
rnacentral:rRNA from 1 species